GGAAUAGUGCGUGGCCGAAUGGUUACGCUGUCCGCUUUGUAAGCGGAUGAUUCUGGGUUCGAUUCCCAUCUGCUCCA
rnacentral:tRNA from 1 species